CUGGCAGGGAAAUCUUUAGCAGUUUGACAAUAUGAUUUUAUAUUUGUGUUUCUGUGACAGUUCUGAUUCUAGAGUUCUACUGAAUCACUGACAACCAUGGCAACAUGAUGGGAAAAGAGACAAAAGAACCAUGCUGUUGAAGCUGUGAAGAAGAGACUGCUGUUGCUUGAGUUGAUUAUAGCUGAAGAGGGACACAACUCUCCAGUCAGCACCUUGAGAGAAAGUGAAUGGGCAGUGGAUCCCAAGAAGAUCAAAGGUGUCAUCUUCAAAACAGGAGAUUAACAACAUAUCAAGAAUUCUAAGGAUAAAAGCUACCUAGAUUAAGUGGAGUACAAAAGUGUACCACUGUUAAUGGUAAAAACACAGGAAAACUCUUCCCUUGUCAGGCGACAUAAUGCACAUCAUCAUCAUAUCAGAUGUAGCAGAACCGACUCAGACAGCACAUUUACUCCUCUGAAUAGUGGCUAUUGACCUCAUACCAACACUACAGUGGAACCGCAGGACAUCCUCUUUUGACACCUAAUACUGACUCCAAAUGAAGGUGAACUAGAAGUCUGGAUGGGAGAAUCUGGAAGAGAUAAAUUUCCUCCUUUUCAAUGACGAUGUAGUAAAAUUAAGCUUUUUGAAAAUAAGUUAACUCUUUGUGACAAUGUCUGAAUCCAUACUUGCUCUGUCUUUUACACCAGAAAAGGAUUACUAAACUACACUUGUCAAUAUGUGCAAGAAUCAGGGAAACAUUAUAUUCAUUAAUGUUUUCAUAGUCUCUGUAUAAGACACAUCACCACAGAUUUGAGUCCUUUCGGAAACUGUUCAAGUAUCCACAGUAAAAUAUUCUUAACAUAAGUAUUAUUGGGAUGAAAAGUGCUACCUGAAUUGAAGGAGCACAUCUUCAGAAUGCAAAGGUAGAUAUAAAUAAGACAAUAUGAAGAUAUUUAAAUACUGGCAAAUUGUGUCGUAGUUCUUAUUUUUCAUGUUCUCAUUUUUAGAUUCUCACUUAAAUUGUCUUUCAAUUAUUGUUAUUCCUCAUCUCAGUGGAGAGAAUCCUAUUCACAAAUACAACUUAAAUUAUUAUUGCUUACCAGAUUUUUAGACAGGUAUUUAUGCAUGUAUAAACAUAUAUGUGAGUCAAUUUCCCCACAGAGUUAAGACGUCCUCCAUACACAUGUUCAGAUCUUCACUACAGUUCGUCAGAACUCCAAUUAAAAUUCUGUUUAUUUAUUUAUAUUUCAUUUUUAUUUUUAUUUUAUGUUAUCUUCAAAGCAUCUGACAAUGA
rnacentral:lncRNA from 1 species